UAAAAUUUUGGGGGGAAUAUAUAAGUAGAAAGGGUGAGAGAGAGAAUGGCGGCGCUGUCCUUCAGUGAGAUUCGGUGUAUUGAGGAGCGGAGGAGAGAAAAUAUCAUCGGCGAGGAGAGGGCGAAGGGAUCUAUCGGAGAUCAGAUCAGAAAUGGACGGCGAAGAAAACGAAAGCUUUGGCGAGGUGGAACAACAACUCCGGCCGGGCAGCGCUGCUAAGGACUUAGCCGACAUCUGGAAAGAAAUAGGGGAGAUUAAACAGAAAGUGGCGGAAAUCCGUGAAAUUCAAGCUAAAUUAUUUGAAGAAUACGUCCUCGUCGAUUCUUCUCAAGCUGAGGAUGAUACCCAGAUGGAGAAUUUUAAUAAGGACGUGGAGGAAGUGGAGCCACUUUCUUCUAUAUUUGCUGGGAAUGAUAUGCGCAAAAGGAUCGGAGAAACGUGCAGCCUGGAAUGUCGUCGACACAGCAGCGUCGUCCAAGGCACUUCUGCUCUCCUUAUGGGCAUUUCUGCCCCAAGGUUCCCGAGGACACAGGGAAGGACCGGACCAUAUCCCAGCCUAGCUUAACAGGACAACAUAAAAAAUGGCGGCGCUAAAACAUGUAUGUGAGACCACCCAACAACUUGUCUUCUUCUGCAUUUAUUGCAGUUUAUUAUUCUCCUUCUCGUUUUUACGAGGUUCGUUUUGGAGUGCUUCAAGAUAUAUAUGGUCAUGGCUAGUGUGAUACUCAUCCUGAUCGAAGUAGACGACAAUGGAAUGCCUCUCAUGAACAUCAGUUCAGUUGGGAGGAUACCCACUGAUGAACCGGUCAAAAACACAAGACUGGAUAUGUACCUUCACUUGGGAAAAAUGUCAAUGGACUUCAGUAAGAAGAAAAAGACUCAGGUGGUUUGCAAGUUGGUUCAUCCAAAUGUCAACUUGUACACAUUCUGCAAGGCCAUCAAUCAUUUAACAAAAGUUUUAAGGUCCUAUAAGGAUCAAAACUCUCUUGUAACACAGUCUGCGAAUUUAAGUUUUAUUAGCCUAGCUAGUAAAUUUAGUUCUAUGUCAGAUUGUAUGGAAUGUCUUUACAUUCCAUUGAAUCUUGGUGUACUUGUUUCUAAUCUUUAUUAAUGAAGGUUUAUUAUUAUAA